rnacentral:rRNA from 1 species
GACGAACGCUGGCGGCGUGCUUAACACAUGCAAGUCGAGCGGUAAGGCUCCUUUGGGAGUACACGAGCGGCGAACGGGUGAGUAACACGUGAGCAAUCUGCCCUUCACUUCGGGAUAACUCCGGGAAACCGGUGCUAAUACCGAAUACGACCACUUCAGGCAUCUGAUGGUGGUGGAAAGUUCCGGCGGUGAAGGAUGAGCUCGCGGCCUAUCAGCUUGUUGGUGGGGUAAUGGCCCACCAAGGCAACGACGGGUAGCCGGCCUGAGAGGGUGACCGGCCGCACUGGGACUGAGACACGGCCCAGACUCCUACGGGAGGCAGCAGUGGGGAAUAUUGGACAAUGGGCGAAAGCCUGAUCCAGCAACGCCGCGUGAGGGAUGACGGCCU